CACUAGCGCGGUGGUCCCACCUGACCCCAUGCCGAACUCAGAAGUGAAACGCCGUAGCGCCGAUGGUAGUGUGGGGUCUCCCCAUGUGAGAGUAGGGAACUGCCAGGC
rnacentral:rRNA from 11 species